CUUGCCCCUUGAGGUGGUACAGAUGGAUGUGGCUGCUGCGUCACAUGUGUGACAGUAGAUGGCAGAGAGAAGAGAGCCUAUACCUAUGCUCAGUAUUCUGAUCUAUGAAUAUCUGAAUGAUUAGUAGACUAACAUU